rnacentral:piRNA from 1 species
UCCUGUCCAUGGAAGCUCAGGUGUGAUG